rnacentral:rRNA from 1 species
UGGAGCAUCCAUGAGUAAAGUGGCGACCGAGUGAGUAACACGUGACUAACCUACCCUACAGUGGGGGAUAACUCCGGGAAACCGGGGGUAAUACCGCAUAACAUCGUAAGAUCAAAGGAGCAAUUCGCUGAAGGAGGGGGUCGCGGCUGAUUAGUUAGUUGGUGAGGUAACGGCUCACCAAGACGAAGAUCAGUAGCCGGCCUGAGAGGGCGCACGGCCACACUGGAACUGAAACACGGUCCAGACUCCUACGGGAGGCAGCAGUGGGGAAUUUUGCGCAAUGGGGGAAACCCUGACGCAGCAACGCCGCGUGGAGGAUGAAGUCCCUUGGGAUGUAAACUCCUUUCGAUCGGGACGAUUAUGACGGUACCGGAAGAAGAAGCACCGGCUAACUCUGUGCCAGCAGCCGCGGUAAUACAGAGGGUGCAAGCGUUGUUCGGAAUUAUUGGGCGUAAAGGGUGCGUAGGCGGUGCGGUAAGUCUGUAGUGAAAUCUCUGGGCUCAACUCAGAGUCUGCUAUAGAAACUGCCGUGCUUGAGUGUGGGAGAGGUGAGUGGAAUUCCCGGUGUAGCGGUGAAAUGCGGUAGAUUCGGGGAG